rnacentral:rRNA from 1 species
UACGUAGGUGACAAGCGUUGUCCGGAUUUACUGGGCGUAAAGAGCGCGCAGGCGGUCGUUCAAGUCGAGUGUGAAAGCCCCCGGCUCAACUGGGGAGGGUCACUCGAUACUGAUCGACUCGAAGGCAGGAGAGGGAAGUGGAAUUCCCGGUGUAGUGGUGAAAUGCGUAGAUAUCGGGAGGAACACCAGUGGCGAAGGCGACUUCCUGGCCUGUUCUUGACGCUGAGGCGCGAAAGCCAGGGGAGCAAACGGG